CUUCAAGGGGAUUCCCUCUGCUCCACUUGCUCAGGGAAUCCUCACAGGCAUUACUCACUAGGAUGCAUAAACACAGAAUGCUGUGUGUUUUCAUCUUGGUCAUCUUCAUGAAAGUCAAUAAUCAGGUUGUACUGGACAUGAAACCUGAAGCAGUUUGGGCCCUGUCACUUUGCUCAUCAUCCUGCAGAGAGUGCUGGCAUUUCAGAGGGAUAUGUACAUUAAAGGCUUUGUUGUCCUGCUGCUGCUUUUCCAGUUGAGUUUGAAGGCAUUGCAAUGACACCUACUGACUUGUUUGCAUGGAUCCCCGUCUCA
rnacentral:lncRNA from 1 species